rnacentral:pre_miRNA from 1 species
CCGAGACGGGCGGAUCACGAGGUCAGGAGAUCGAGACCANUUUUUAGUAGAGACGGGGUUUCACCAUGGUCUCGAUCUCCUGACCUUGUGAUCCGCCCGCCUCGG